UGCGGAAUAGCUCCGGGAAACUGGAAUUAAUACCGCAUACGCCCUACGGGGGAAAGAUUUAUCGGGGAAGGAUUGGCCCGCGUUGGAUUAGCUAGUUGGUGGGGUAAAGGCCUACCAAGGCGACGAUCCAUAGCUGGUCUGAGAGGAUGAUCAGCCACAUUGGGACUGAGACACGGCCCAAACUCCUACGGGAGGCAGCAGUGGGGAAUAUUGGACAAUGGGCGCAAGCCUGAUCCAGCCAUGCCGCGUGAGUGAUGAAGGCCUUAGGGUUGU
rnacentral:rRNA from 1 species